UCUCUCUCUCUCUCUCUCAUNUUUUUUUAAAAAGACUGGCUUAGGUGAACCCACUGGGGCUGGCUGGGGAAACGGAGGAGGCUUGCUCCAGAAGGAACUGUCUGAGGGAU
rnacentral:snoRNA from 1 species